AAUAUAUAAUGCCGUUGACUUUUUCUCGCAUGUUUAACCAUUCGUCUUAUUUAAAAAAAUUACGUAAUUAUAAUUUAUUUUGUUAUGAGUUGUUUUAUCACUUAUAGUGCUUUAAGUGUGAUUUAUAUCUUAUACAUUUGCAUAAUUUUUUUGAAUAAAACGAAUGGUCAAACAUGUGAGAAAAAGUCAACAGCGUCAUCUAUU
rnacentral:pre_miRNA from 1 species